rnacentral:rRNA from 1 species
AUUGAACGCUGGCGGCAUGCUUUACACAUGCAAGUCGAACGGUAACAGGGUGCUUGCACCGCUGACGAGUGGCGAACGGGUGAGUAAUGCGUCGGAACGUGCCGAGUAGUGGGGGAUAACGCAUCGAAAGGUGUGCUAAUACCGCAUACGUACUGAGGUAGAAAGUGGGGGACCUUCGGGCCUCACGCUAUUCGAGCGGCCGACGUCUGAUUAGCUAGUUGGUGAGGUAAAGGCUCACCAAGGCGACGAUGAGUAGCGGGUCUGAGAGGAUGAUCCGCCACACUGGGACUGAGACACGGCCCAGAGUCCUACGGGAGGCAGCAGUGGGGAAUUUUGGACAAUGGGCGGAAGCAUGAAACAGCCAUGCCGCGUGUCUGAAGAAGGCCUUCGGGUUGUAAAGGACUUUUGUCCGGGGGCAAAUGCCUGGUGUUAAUAGCACUGGGAGCUGAGAGUACCGGAAGAAUAAGCACCGGCUAACUACGUGCCAGCCGCCGCCGUAACAC